rnacentral:rRNA from 1 species
UUGGCCUACGGGGGGCAGCAGUGGGGAAUAUUGGGCAAUGGGCGCAAGCCUGACCCAGCAACGCCGCGUGAAGGAAGAAGGCUUUCGGGUUGUAAACUUCUUUUGACAGGGAAGAGCAGAAGACGGUACCUGUCGAAUAAGCCACGGCUAACUACGUGCCAGCAGCCGCGGUAAUACGUAGGGGGCAAGCGUUAUCCGGAAUUACUGGGUGUAAAGGGAGCGUAGACGGUAAUGCAAGUCUGGAGUGAAAGGCGGGGGCCCACCCCCCGGACUGCUCUGGAAACUGUGUAACUGGAGUGCAGGAG